UUUCAAUCCUCCAUGGAAAUUUUUACUCUUUUGGUCUACCCAAAACAAUUUUAACAGGAAAACAUUUAUUUUCCCCAAAUUGAGAUUGUUGAUGAUAAUCAAUGGCAAGGAGCAAUUAAUCUCAAUUUCCCCUCUUUUGGUCAAACUUUGAAACGGUUAAUUUUUUUUUAGCAAUCUAUAUAUAAAGGAAGGGGUUUCAAGUGUCUUCCAUCAUCUCCAUCCCAAUUCUCAAUUCAAGCAAGUACUAUUUUUUUUCCCCAGAUUUUGCUUCAUUUUAUGUUCUUUUAAUUAGGAAAGAGUUAAUAAGCUUAAUAUGUUUGUAAUUAUAUCAUGAAUUGACAUUGUCAGUUGACAUUCAUAUCAAGUUUGUCUGAUUGAUUCUUGUUAACCGACUUGGGCAUCUAUGAAUGAGUAAUGUUGAAGUUUUUAUUCACUCCAGAAUCUCAAUUUAUACACUCAAGAACUUUACAUUCAACUUUUUAAAAGCUGGGUUUGAUGAGAAUUGGGGUAAAAUUUGAAGUUCACCGAAAAAGAGAUUCUGAGGGAUAAUUUUGUUGAUAUAAACUCCAUUUGUUAAUGUUUAUUCGCUCCUUUUAUAUGUAAGAUUGUUGAAUUUUUUUUUUUGAAAAGAAUCAAGCUGAUUUGUUUUUAAUUUGCUAUAAUUAAAUUAUUAUGAAUAAAGUUGUUUGUCUUCUAUUGGCUAUGAAUAAAGUUAAAUUUUUAUUGA